AUAUUGCAGAAGUUAACAUUCCCCUUGACAAUGAUGGAAGAGGUCUAAUGGCUCUGCCACCUACUUCGUGGCAUCUCUAACCAUGUAUUUGG